rnacentral:tRNA from 1 species
GGAGAAGUACCGAAGUGGCCGUAACGGGACUGACUCGAAAUCAGUUUAUCGGGCAACCGAUACGUGGGUUCGAAUCCCACCUUCUCCACCA